rnacentral:lncRNA from 1 species
GUUCCUCCAACGUAGACGAACACCGGUUAGGUCCAUCCGCUAUCGACUCGAUCCUCUCGGCUAUCGCUCAAGCCAAAGCGGAAGCCAAUCCCGGCUCCGCUCUUAUCACCACUUCUCAUGGCAAAUUCUUCUCCAACGGCUUCGACCUCGCCUGGGCCCAAGCCGCUGGCUCCCGAACCGGCGCCCGGGAACGCCUCCACUACAUGUUCAAAUCCUUCAGGCCGCUUGUAGCCGCCAUGAUGGAUCUACCUAUGCCUACUGUGGCCGCCGUGAACGGCCACGCAGCCGCCGCGGGGUUCAUUCUGGCUUUGAGCCAUGAUUACGUCGUCAUGAGGCGUGAUAAGGGCGUGCUGUACAUGAGCGAGGUGGAUAUCGGGCUCACCUUGCCGGAUUAUUGUGCUGCUCUGUUUAGGGAAAAGGUCGGAUCGGCUACGGCUCGGCGCGAUGUGUUGUUGAGGGCUAAGAAGAUCAAGGGAGAGGAGGCGUUGAGGAUGGGUCUCGUGGAGGCAGCAUACGAUAGCGAGGAACGAGUGGCCGAGGCUAGUAUGCGCCUGGGGAAGCAGUUGGCUGGUAGAAAGUGGGCUGGUGAGGUGUAUGCGGAAAUAAGGAAGAGUUUGUACCCGGACUUAUGUGGCGUGCUGGGAUUGGACAUCAAGGCUGUUUUUUCCAAUUCUAAACUUUGAAUUUGAUUAAACGCGAAAAUAACUACGAAGUUUAGAGUUGAAUAAUAAUUAUUCAAUCAUGCCCAAGAAUUUGGGAUACGAAAGAAUUUCAGAAUUCGGAGAUGCUUGUACAAUAAUAAAGAAAGAUUUAAAGAGAUAGAGUUAUAUUUUUUCUUUUUGAAGAAAAUAAGCUAACAUUUCCUUCAUUACAAGUGAAAAUUAGUACAUCUUCACAUUUAGUACAAAUAUAAAAUUAUACAAACAAUCUCGAUAGAUAUCUUUACAAGUACACAAUUGUUGAAUUAAUAUAUUUUUCACACUUAAGAACAAGUGAAAAAAUCAGCACAUUAAAGAUACUUCAGUGAAGUAGCUAUUCCGACGAAGGAGAUGUACCCAACAGAAAGCCAUUCACCAAAUAAAGUUCUUUCAUGGUACCCUGUCUUUAGAUUUGAUACUUCAACUAGUUCAGGAAUAGAUUUUCUGUCUUGAUCCACUUGUUAUAGCCAUGAAAAAGAUGUAAGAUACAGGAGAAACGGUGCCUGCAGCUCUCACAAGCUGAUUCAAUAUAUUUUCCGUUAGAUUUUAAUUGGUAGUAUUUCGGAUACAUCAAAACAACUACAGCCUUGAAGAUGUAUGUAACACGAAAGAUGUUAACAUAAUUUUUUAUAGAAAUUAUAAUAAAAUCUACUUUGUUUAAAUUAAAAAAUACAAAAUUAAUUAGAUAUAAAGGAAUAAUAUUUUUAUGAAUUGAUUGUUUUAUAUCUUUAAAAUAAUUAAUUGAUAAAAUUAUAUAUAUAUUAACAGAUAAAAUUAUAAAUAUAUAUGUAUAAAAUAAUUCUGUAAUAUGAGGAUGCACUAACAGAUUAAAAAAAUAUAAAGUUCAAUAACAGAUAAAUACACACAAUUGUCCAAUUUUCAAUAAUUUAUUUUUGAAAGAUUUUAAUAUAAGUUAUCUCUUUAUUUCUUUACUUCAAUUUUCAUACAUAUUCCAAGAACACUAUCAUAAGUACUUUAUAUUAAUGGGAUGUUUGAUAUUUAGAAGUUGUGACUUUUAAUCUACAUUGUUAUACAUUGUUAUAUAAGUAACCGUCAUGUUACAUAUAAUAUAACUUACCGCAACUCAAAAGUAGUUACUCAAUACCAAAAAUUAUAACAUUUAAAAUAAGUAGGAGGUCAUAGGUAACUAUUUUUAGAUUUAUUGUAAGUUACAUAUGAUAUAACUUUUAGCAAGAUCCUAUUACAUAUCAAUAAUAUUGACUCUUGAUAUAUAGCAUACUAUAUGCUGUACAUGCAAUUACUUUAAGAAAGAAGAAAUAUUGUUCUUUUGAAUUGAAAGCUUAUUGAUCUUGAUAUUUCUCCCAUAGUUUUUUUAUUCAACAAUUUGGAGGAUCUUUGUUGCAAUCAAAGCGUCUUUGUUGACCAAGAUGGUAUGCUCUCGCUUGCUCAGUGUCUCUUCUUCUUUGUGGUCUAUAUGCAACGAAAAUUUUCAUCUUAUUUUCUCCUUGUGGUGUUAAAAUUACAUUAACACCAUUGAAGAUAAAUUUCACAUAUGCCACUAGCUCAUUACGUACGUUGUUAAGAUAAAGUAAUUUUUGCCACUUAGCCUUUAGCAAAGUGGUGAAUCACUUUCCUCAAAGUUAAGCAUAACUAUAAGGGUAGUGGUUCGAGUCUCUAUGGACUCAACCUCCCACAAUUAAACUUAAUUGUGUGAAGUUUAUUUACAAGUCUUCCUCCCUUGCGAAAUACGAAUGGAGCAAAGAUAUCACUUCUCUGUGAGGGUUAUAUGUUUGAGCAUGUAUUUUAUAAAAUUUAAUUUAAUAAUGUAAGUCUCAAUUAUAUAUCUGAUUGUAAAUAUCAGUGUAACGAUCUAUUGAUAUAGCAGUUAUAAAUAUUUGUAUAAUACAAUAAUCUGAUGUGUAAUCAGUAUUUAAAAAAAAGAUAAAAUAAUUUUCAAUAUUUGCUGAGAGUGCAUAGAAAAAAUCUAAAAUCGGAGAAUGUGAAGUUGUGGUAUAUUUUUAUUAAUUUUUGUAAUUCAAUUAACUUAUGCCAAGGGCCUAUUAUUUUUCGUCCUUUUCCGAGGUGGUACUAGGCCUAGCUAAGACCAAGACUUCUUGUAACAUCCCGAAAGAUAUUUACCGACUAUGAUCUGAAUAAGGACUAAACACUAUAUUAUAAAAAAAAAUUUAUAAAAUAUAUUUAUUUCCUAAACUAUAAAACUUAAUUUUUUUUUAUUUGAUUUAUAAUAACAUAAAUGUCAAAUAAUCAUAUUUAAGAUUUUUUUAUUUACAAAAACUAAGAAGAUGUCACUUAUAUUUAGUUAUUUAAAAGAGAAAAAUGAACAUUUCAUUCAAAUAUUCAUAUUUGGACCCGUUUAGACUUUGAAAAUUUUAAAUUUAUUUAGAUUUCAGACAAAAAUAAUAAUGCUAUCUAACUGUGGCUAUUUCUGGUACUUUGAUUAUGCAAUAUUUCUUUUUGUACAAAGAGGAGAGUUGCAAACUUUGUUGCAAUGUUUGCAUUAGACAGCAUGGAGGUCCUGUUUGAUAUUGAGAUAUUACGACUUUUAAGUUGUAGUUACUAUUAAAAAAAAAGAAAAUAAAAUAAAAAAAAGUUAUAGUUAUGAAACAAAAGUUAAUAGUGUGUGGUAAAUAUAACUUUUAAAUAACAAUUUUUAAAAAAUUGUAAAGAUAUCAUAGUGUUUUAUCCUACGAAUGUAUAAUUAAAUCAACUUACCUUCUAAAACUUAGUUUCUAAACUAUAGCAAUAAGUAUUUACUAAACGUUAACACUUUAAGUAUUAUAACUUGGAAGAUGCAAUUCUCCAAUCACACUACCAAAUAAGGCAUUUAUUAAUAAAAUAUUAACAUUUGUAUCUUAUAAUUAGAGAAUAUGAUGCAAGGUUAGGAACAAACUUUGAUCUGCUGAGGUGAUAGUGUCUUCGACCAUUGAAAAUGAGUUGUGUUUGCCAAAUUCAAGUGUUGUCGUUACAGUAUAUAAAGAGUUGAGAUUGAGCAUUUUGGUCCUAUUUGGUAUUCAAGUACCAUAUCUUUUAAGUUACAGGUUACCACUUGCUGUAGAAAAAAAAUUAUAAUUAUAAAAUAAAAGUUAAUAGUAUGUAGUAAGUAAAAAUUUUUAAAUAACAAUUUUGACAAGAUUAAUAAAAAUAUAAUAGAUUUUUUAUCAUACAAGUAUAAAGUCAAACCAACUUAAUUUUCAAGAUAUAACAGCUAAUGUUUACUAAACAUGCACAUUAAAGUUGUAGCUCUGUUCAGCCUCAAUCACAAACAGGGCCUUUGGAUCAAGAACGGAGAAUGCAAGAAUCUAGUGAAGGGAACCUAUGUCUAUCUUCACAUCCCAAUACAAUUUCAAUCUAUUAUUAAAAUGUAAUCUUUUACAUACUAUAAUGAAAUGAAACUUAAGAUUGAGCCAAAUCUUAAUAAUAUCAUAAUAUUUCUCCAUUUUCUUUUGCAGGACUUCCCUAGUGAAUGAGCAAAAGAAUGGGUAUCUUCCCUAGUGAAUGAGCAAAAGAAUGGGUAUCCGGUGAAUGAAAUUUGCAUGGAAGAAGACUGAGAUUGGAAAUUCUCUUGGAAUUUCUGAAGCACUAUAACAAGAAAUUAAGAUUGACUUAUUACACUUGUAAUUGACUUAUCAAAAUUUUGAUUGUUCCGACUUGAUGAAUGGUUAAUUGGUAAAGAUUUUGCCUGAUUAUGUGCUUGAUCUUGAUUGUUUUUCACUGGAAAGAAACAAAAGUUAUUUUGGGCUCUAUUUGUCACAACGCAAGCAGUGGGUUUUGUUGGAUUGAAUAUUGCAAAGACAUCCCUUAAUUAUAAGAGCAGCACUGUAAUCAUGGGUUAAGACUUAUGUUGAGAAAGUUUGGGAAGAUUCACCUUCACAACACCCCUAAUAAGAAAAAAUAAAAACAAAACCCAAAGCGAAAAAAUCCCUACGAAAAUAAUCAUAUUCUUCAUAAUCUAUAUAUAUUUCAUGUUUCUAUCUUUUCAACUUCAAGUCUUCAAUGUUCAAAACUCUUAUACAUGUAUUGGAAAACACACCCUAACCCUAUCCCAGCCAACACACAAACAUAAAUACAACAAAAAUGAUAUGCAAUCCAUCAUUGAAUCCCACAUGAUGAACCUCAUUCUAGUGAGCUCUUGUUUUUAUUUAUUUUUGAGAAUUUUUUAAUUCUUUUUUUACCUACGUAGGGUUUCAUCUAAGGGGUUCAAUGACGAUUAUAAGAAUUACAAUAUAGAUUAUGAAAUAUUUAAGUUAAAAUUACUUAAUAUAUAACAAUAGUUGAUGGUGACAUAUUAUUUAAAAUAAAAAGUUUGCACCAAAAUUUUGAAAAUAUAACAUUUUAUGAACAAGCAAAAUUAAACAUGUUUCAUUUUUUUUUCUUAUAAUUUGAAAAUUUAUUUUAUUUUCAAUUGACUAUAAUUUUAGAAGUAUUUUUUAAAAGAAUUUUAAGAGUACAAUACGAACAAAAAGCAUAGAUCCUUGAUAAAAUCUAAAACAUAAUCAAAUGACAAAUUUUAUCAUGAUUUGUUUUUCCGCAUGUCAGUAAAUGUACUAUAGAUUUGGGAUUAUGGAUGUGCACAUUAAACUUAAACAAAUAAAUAUUAGAAAGCAAAAACAUGUGAGUCACGUGCUAAAUAAAUAAACAAGAAAGAUCAUAUUAAAUGAAAAAAGAAAUGAACUACUGAGAUUAGAUCAGGAAUGAUCUAAUGUUCCCUAGUCGAAAGUUCCUACAAAUAGAAAUAUUGAACUAUUUGAAAGGGAGGGACAAAGAUUCUCAUAAGAGAGUUAACAGAUUCUCUCUAGAGAGAGAAAAAUAUUCUCUAAACUGAAGCUUCUUGAACCUCGUAUUUUCUAAGGAACCAAAUGCUGACUUGAAUGUCAGAGUACCUUUUACAAGUACCAAAUCAUUGCUCGAAGCUUUGGAAGCUUGAAGAUGAAGGACAUAAUCAUCGUUUUCGGGUAUUAAAGGAAAUUUGCUCGUUUGCUAGCAAAGGUAGAAGCAACUUUGAGUUGGAAAUUUGCUCUUUCUCUAGCCUAAAUUACAAUUGGUAUUAUUGUAAUACGACAAUUAAAAAUUACUUUUACACACACACAAAUAUUAAAAGUCGACUUAUAUUUAUAUAUGAAAUUAGAUAGAUCAAAUAAAUUAUGAUAGUCUCAAUUUCUACUUUCAUAAAUAUUAAAACAAAAGUCUUUAUUUUGCCUACUAACCACAGGAAAAAAAAAAAACCUAACUUCCCUGAAUUUUAAAUUAGAAAAAGAAAUGUUGAGUCUGUUAGCAGGACUCCAAGCAUCCGCCUAAUACCAGGAGCCGAGUGGAAAAUUACUUUUAAAAUAUUUUCCCCAAAAAAAAAUAUUACUUGAAGAAGCCUAUCCGAGUAGACGGCUUCAACUUGACAUCUUACAAUAGGAGGUUGCUAUGUUACAGAUUUUGUAACAUACGCACCCAAUGCAUGCACCACACCUGUCCUGCAUAUGGAGAAAAAACAUACAACUAUUUUUAUUUGGUUGCUAGCUACCCAAUCAGAAGCUGGCUAAGUUGGAUCUGUAUGUUACAGAAUCUGUAACUUAGCCAGCUCCCUUACAAUAACUCGUAACAAAUAUCUGAUCGAAAAAUGUGCACUUUAGAGAAACACGGCGACGUUUUUGUCCUAACCUUAACCGGUUCCUCCGACGUUGACGAACACCGGUUCGGUCCAUCCGCAAUCGACUCGAUCCUCUCGGCUAUUGCCAAAGCCGAAGCCGAAGCAACUCCCGGCUCCGCUCUUAUUACCACUUCUCAUGGCAAAUUCUUCUCCAACGGCCUCGACCUCGCCUGGGCCCAAGCCGCCGGCUCACGAGCCGGCGCCCGGGAACGCCUCCUCUACAUGGUCGAAUCCUUCAGGCCGGUGGUAGCCGCCAUGAUGGAUCUACCUAUGCCUACCGUGGCCGCCGUCAACGGCCACGCAGCCGCCGCAGGGUUCACACUGGCUUUGAGCCAUGAUUACGUCAUCAUGAGGCGUGAUAAGGGCGUGCUAUACAUGAGCGAGGUGGAUAUCGGGGCCAGUCUGCCGGAUUAUUUUACUGCUCUGUUUCGGGCAAAGGUCGGAUCGGCUACGGCUCGGCGCGAUGUGUUGCUGAGGGCUAAGAAGAUCAAGGGAGAGGAGGCGCUGAGGAUGGGACUCGUGGAGGCAGCAUACGAUAGCGAGGAACAAGUGGCCGAGGCUAGCAUGCGCCUGGCGAAGCAAUUGGCCGGCAGGAAGUGGGCUGGUGAGGUGUAUGCGGAAAUAAGGAAGAGUCUGUACCCGGACUUAUGUGGCGUGCUGGGAUUGGACAUCAGGGCCGUUGUUUCCAAUUCUAAGCUUUGAAUUUGAUUGGACGAGAAAAUAACUAUAAACCAGUUGUGUUUUGUGUUAACUGUUAUCGAAGUUUAGUGAUGAAUAAUAUUCAUACCCGAGAACUUGGGACACGAAAGAAUUUGAGAAUUCAGAGAUACUUGUAUAGUAAUGUUAGAUUUAAAGAGAAAGAAGUAUUAUUUUUCUUUUUGAAGAAAAUAAACUAACAUUUCACUCGCCACAAGCCAAAAUUAGCAUAUCGUCACGUCUAGUACAAAAAUAGCUCCACAGACAUCUAUUACAAGUACACAAUUGUUGAACCAAUCUAUUUUUCAUAUUAAAGAACAAGAGAAAAUUAGUGCAUCAAAAAUACUUUAAUGAAGUUUUUCUUCCCACGAAGAAGAUGCACUCAAUAAGAGAGCCAUUCACCAAAUAUUCGUAGUGCCUAUAUUUAAAUUUGGGAACAGAUUUUCUGCCCCUAGAUCCACUUAUAAUAGCAUAAAAGAGAUAGAAGUAUCGUAAGAUACAUGGGAAAUGGUGCCUACAGUCUCACAAGCCGAUUCAAAAUAUUUUCCGUUAAAUUUUAGUUUGAAGCAUUUCCGAUACAUCAAUUUGAAUUAUGACCAUAAUAGAGCCGAUAGAAAUGAUGAAUAAGAUUCAGCCAGUAAGAACAUUCUUGCAGGAGUGUGUACCCAUAGGCUAUAGCUUAGCAAUUUCAAGUUGACAAUCUCAUAUAUAAAGAUCCAAUAAAAAGAACAACUCAUGUCUCUUAUGUUGUGGAAAUGAGACAGCAAAAUAAAUAAGAUAAUUGAAACAUACAAAUAUGCAAACGUGCAGAAUAUCAACGAAGAGUUAGAAAGGUGACAAACUACUGCAUGAUACACGGUAAAAAACAUACAAAAACCUACCAGCUGAAAGAAUGCUACUUGUUACAGCUUCUGCAAGACCCAUCUUCUCUUCCUUCUUUGGCUUAGUUGUCAAAACUAUGGUAGCUCUCCCACAUUGGUAAUCCAACAUUAAUCCCAGGAUAGAAGUUAUCCGAUAUGUCAGAUCUUCUGGGGAAAUCUGUAUGCCAUGUAUCUUCUAGCAUAUCCUCAUCAUAGUCGUUAAACCUGAUUAAAUAAACCAUUACAACAGCAUCAAAGUUAAAUAACUUGGCUACAGACAUUUCACCAUGCAAAUAAAUAAGCAACUGAUGUAAAUAACCAAGAACGAGGUGGUGGAGGAUACGCAUCUGGAACCAAAUGCUUUGGGUAGAGCAAACCCAUCGGAGGAACCUAUUAUUAGGAUAAGAGUUCAGCUAAGCUUAAAUUAAUUCUAGAAGAGGAAAAAAAAGAAAAAAAAAAAGCCAAAUAGAUCUUCCUUUCAAGCGAAAUACGUUAAGAGCGGUUAGCCUUGUCUUAUGAGAUCCGGGUGGCAUGCCAUCUUCGUAUGAAUGAACUACCGCAACAGCAUCGAUCUCCCCUUGCUGCAUACUGGAAAUACCAAAUGACAGAACAGAAAAAUAUAAAAACAAUAAAAUUUCUUUCCAUUAAGAAAAGAUAAAAGCCUAGUACAGGAGAAAGGUUAAAAAUAGUUUAUUAGCUACAACAAGCAAUGGAAACUCACUCUAAUCUCACAAUAGGAUCCUUUUACUCGAUUAAGCAUCAAUAUUUCCAUAGGCUCUCUCAAAAUGUCAGUACGAAUUUGUGGCCAUGUCUGGUAUGCCUCUGAGUCCAGAGAAGGCAUCUUGAUAUAUCCUCGAAAAGAAUGUUAAUAACUUAACAUGAAAUGAAAACUAAUUAGCAAUAAAAAAUUAAAAACCAACCAGACAGUUAAAUGAUUCGUUUACUUCAAUGUGAGAAAAUAUUAGAUGGACCCUUUUCAGCUGAAGUAAACAGGCGAAAAACACAAGUGCCGACAUCAAUUCAGAAGUCAGACAUUCUAGAGUUAGUCAUGCUGGUCUAAACACUAAAGCAGUCAAGAAAACUUUUAAAAGUGUAAAAUAUCAGUCAUAAGGAGAAAACUAAAGUGCAACGGUGGUACCGUGUCACCGUUGCACCCAGCCUUUGGAUCCCAAUGGGUCAAUUCAUCCAAGUGGAUCCAACGGAUAGAUGCAAUGGUGGCACGGUACCACCGUUGCACCAUAGCCGGACCCCAGUCAUAAAGAGUAUAGAAUCCGCACCUCUCCACCAAACGGCAAAGUCUUACUCUGUAUUAGGUUAGGUAGAGCCACUCCAUCCUAGACACCAAAAUAAUCACGUAGUUUAUUAGAAUAAGAGAGAAACUCUUUACUUCAUAUAAUGUAGGCAGCAUGUAACACCCCAAAUCUAACACGUGCGGAGCACGUGAAAAAGGAGGUUACUUACAAAUCGUAAUCCUUACUCAUAAAUUUCAAACUGAAAUAUCUCAAAUUCUUAUUCAAAUAAAUCCACAAAUUCAUACGUCUAAUGCUAAAUAAUCUCUCCCAAAACAUAAAUAUAACAUAAGUCUCAAACUCUAAAUUUCAAGUUCAUAACAGAAAUAAAAUAAAAAGAACAUGAGACUAUUCCUCCUUUUAUUCAAAUAGCAAACGGAAACAAAAUCUCUAACUUCAAAGCUAAGUACACCUUUCAAAAGUGUUGGCUGAAAGGUGAAUUCAAACACCUUUGCCAGCAAACGACAGUGUUUCCAGUAGUGUUCAGAAGCUUUAAGUGAUCACGUGAGAAGCACAGCCAAUCCUUUGUUUCGAAACGGCAACACAUGAGUGCGUUUUGGAUAUACUCAACUUAAGUGGAGUCACGGGUUCUUCACGUGAUAGUUAGCUGAAGCUGAGUUCGUUAAAUAACAGACUCAUAGUACACGUGUCAAGGAGCUGUGCAAUCUGGGUUGUUAGAGCUGUUACAAGACUGGUAUAUAAGCUGCAGCCUUCUGGUUUGGAGAUAGUCGUGCGUGAUAGAGAUUGAGGGAAGUCUGAGAGGAAGUGUCUUACUUGUUCUUGUUCUUAGAAUCUCUGUAACAAAACUUCUUGAAUCAUUCAAUAAAGCUGUCUGAGGAAUUCACUCGUGGAUGUAAGCCAUUAAUGGCUGAACCACGUUAAAGCUUGUGCUCUGUUUUGUGUGAUUGAUUUUCUUGCUGGUUUUGGUUUCUAAGGUUGUAAUUAAUCCUUUUUGUUACGAGUCUUAUUGGGUUUAGUUGAUUCUCUGAAGUUGAUCUAAGCUGAUAUUGCAUCCUGAUUAAUCUUGGCUGAGAAUCUUGGGAGGAUCUGGUUCUUGAUCAAAGCAUAGCUAACGAACCAGAUUCAACAAUUGGUAUCAGAGCUUGGUUCUUAACCAAGAUUCAGGUAUGGCUACUCAGAAGGUAGAUUUGGAGAAGUUUAAUGGCAGAAACGACUUCAACAUGUGGAAGGUUAAAAUCGAGGCUCUCUUGGUUACUCAAGGUCUUGGUGAUGCACUUGAUGCUUCAACCAAGAUCGAAGGGAAGGGAGCAUCAUCUUCAAAAACUCCAGAGCAGAUGGCUGAAAUUGACAAGAAGGCAAAAGGUACCAUAAUCCUUAGCCUUGCUGAUUCUGUAAUUAGAGAAGUUGCCAAGGAGACAUCUGUUGCUGGUUUGAUGGAGAAAUUGGAAAGCCUGUACAUGAAGAAAUCCUUGGCCAACAGGCUGUAUAUCAAGAAAAGGAUGUUCACUUUAAAGAUGACAGAAGGCUCAUCACUGGAUAAGCACAUUGAUGAAUUCAAUCAAGUGUGUGACACACUUGCAACAAUUGAUGAAGCUUUAGAUGAUGAGGGAAAAGCUUUGCUACUGGUUAGCUCUCUUCCAGGGUCUUACAAGAACUUUGUUGAUGCACUCAUGUAUGGGAGACAAACUCUCUCUUUGGAUGAAGUUAAGUCAGCUCUAAACACAAGGGAGCUGCAAGAAAAGAGACAGAAUCUUGACCAAGAAAUUGGGGAAGGAUUAACUGCAAAGGGUCAGCAUUACAAGAACCAGAAAAAGAAGCAAGGGAAGGCCAAAGACAAGAACAAGACUCUUAAGUGCUUCCAGUGCCAUAAGGAAGGUCACUUUAAGAGAGAUUGUCCAGAAAGGAAGAACAAACAGCACAAAGAGCAAAGAAGUGAAAAUGGUGAUGCAGCAGUAGUUGAAGAAGAAGGUUAUGAGUCAGCUGGAGUCCUAAUUGCCUCUGAUGUUGAUCAGGAAGGUAAGUGGGUGCUUGACUCAGGGUGUUCUUUUCAUAUGUACUCUUUUAAACAUCAUUUCUCUGAGUAUCAAGAAUAUGAUGGUGGUAGGGUGAUGAUGGGGAAUAAUGCAAUCUGUAGAGUUAUAGGGAUUGGGGUUAUUAAACUGAAAUUGCAUGAUAACUCAAUUCUUGAACUCAAACAAGUGAGGCAUGUACCUGAUUUAAAAAGGAAUUUGAUCUCACUGGGGAUGUUGGAUCAGAUAGGUUGUGUUGUUAAGGUCCAGCAGGGUAUAAUGAGUGUUGUAAAGGGGUCACUGGUUCUGUUAAAAGGAAUCAGGAAGAAUGGUCUCUAUGUGUUAGAAGGGACAACUGUGACAGGGAUGGUGUCAGUGUCAUCUAGCUCUAGUGUUGACAAAACUAGGCUAUGGCACUUAAGGCUUGGACAUAUGAGUCUGAGAGGCCUUAAAGAGUUGUCAAAACAGGGGCUGUUAGGCAGUGAUACAAUUGGUGAGAUGGUGUUUUGUGAAGAUUGUGUCCUAGGGAAAUCUACAAGAACCAGUUUCAAGUCAUCAGUUCACACUACUAGAAGCAUUCUGGAUUACAUACACUCAGACUUGUGGGGACCUGCACAAGUAACAUCACUGGGAGGAGCAAGAUAUUUUUUGUCUAUAAUUGAUGAUUUUUCAAGAAGAGUCUGGAUUUAUGUGCUUAAGAAUAAAGAACAGGUGUUUGAAAAAUUCAAGAACUGGAAGGUCUUGGUUGAAAAACAGACUGGAAAAACAGUGAAAAAAUUGAGGACUGAUAAUGGAUUGGAGUUUUGCAACCAGGUGUUUGAUGAAUUUUGUGCAAAGGAAGGUAUUGCAAGGCAUAAAACUGUAAGAAUGACACCUCAGCAGAAUGGCUUAGCUGAGAGGAUGAAUAGGACUCUCAUGGAUAAGGUGAGGUGCAUGAUGAUUCAAGCCAAGCUACCUAAGAAUUUGUGGGCUGAGAUUCUCAACACAGCUUGCUACCUGGUGAAUUUGAGCCCCUCCACUGCCAUUGAAUUCAAGACACCUUUUGAGCUUUGGUAUGGUAAACAAGCCAGUUAUAAAGACCUUAAGGUGUUUGGUUGUCUGAGUUAUGCUCACAUAAGCCAAGGAAAACUAGCACCCAAAGCACUGAAAUGUGUGUUCAUUGGGUAUCCAGAGGGAACCAAAGGAUAUAAGCUUUGGUGUACUGAUCUCUCUCCACCCAGGUGCAUAGUAAGCAGAGAUGUCAAGUUCAAUGAAGUAGCAGCAGUGGAUAGUAUUCAAAGAAACAGUGUGAGAGCUGAUCAAGUUCAUGAGGAACAUUUUGAGGUGGAGUCACCUGGCAACCUGAAUCAGAAUGAUGAUAAAGAAUCAGCUGAAAGUGCUGAUGAUAUUGGAAGACAGGAGUCACUUCAAGAAGCUGGAUCAACUCAAUCACAAGUAAUGGAUUAUCAGUUGACAAGAGAUAGACAGAAGAGACAAAGCAAAGCACCUAAGAGGUAUGGCUAUGCUGAUCUGAUUGCUUUUGCAUUACAUUCUGCUCAUGAGAUAAAUGCUGAAGAACCACAGAAUUUCAAAGAAGCCAUUAACUGUCAGUAUGCAAAAGAAUGGAAGAAAUCUAUGGAUGAAGAAAUGACCUCACUGUACAAGAAUUGUACCUGGGAACUGGUUAAAAGACCUAAAAAUAGGAGGAUUGUUGGUUGCAAGUGGAUAUACAGAAUCAAAGAGGGUAUGACUGCAGCUGAACCAAGGAGAUUUAAGGCUAGGUUAGUUGCAAAGGGGUACACUCAGAUGGAGGGUAUUGAUUUUAAGGAAGUUUUCUCCCCUGUAGUAAGGCAUGCUUCCAUAAGAGUACUGAUGGCUAUAACAGCAACACAGAAUCUGGAGCUGGAACAGCUUGAUGUUAAGACUGCUUUUUUGCAUGGAAAUCUUCAAGAAGAAAUUUUCAUGAGUCAACCAGAAGGAUAUGAAGCUCCUGACGGAAGAGACUAUGUAUGCUUGCUAAAGAAAUCCCUCUAUGGCCUGAAGCAAUCUCCCAGGCAAUGGUACCUCAAAUUCGAUGAGUUUAUAACCACUCAUGGAUUUCAGAGGUGCAAUUAUGAUUGCUGUGUCUACCUUAAACAGCUAAGUCAUGAAAAACAUAUCUAUCUACUGCUAUAUGUAGAUGAUAUGUUGAUUGCUUGUGAAGAAAGGUCUGAAAUAGAUGCUUUGAAGACAUUGCUUGGCACUGCAUUUGACAUGAAGGAUUUAGGAAGUGCUAAAAGGAUAUUAGGAGUUGAUAUAAGAAGGAACAGAAGUGAAGGACUGGUAUUUUUAUCUCAAGAGAAAUACUUGAAGAAAAUACUGGAAACCUUUGAUAUGGAGGAUUCUAAACCUGUACAAGGCCCCUUAGCAGCACACUUCAAACUUUGCAACCUAUAUUGUCCAAAGUCUGAAGAAGAAAGACUUGAGAUGGCCAAUAUUCCAUAUGCAAAGGCAGUAGGAUGCCUUAUGUAUGCCAUGGUGCUGACUAGGCCUGACAUCUCACAUGCUGUGAGUGUUGUCAGCAGAUACAUGGCAUCUCCAGGCAAAGAACACUGGAAAGGGGUGAAAUGGAUACUAAGGUAUUUAAAGGGUACUUUGAAUGUUGGUCUGGUAUAUGGAAAGAACUCUGGAACAGAAGAAGGGUUGUGGGGCUAUGUAGAUUCCGACUAUGCAGGAGAUCUGGACAGAAGAAGAUCACUCACAGGAUACUUGUUUAUGUUAAAUGGCUGCCUGAUUAAUUGGAAGGCAAACUUGCAGCAUGUAGUGGCACUUUCCACAACAGAAGCAGAAUUUACAGCUGCCACUGAAGCUGCAAAGGAGGCCAUUUGGCUCAAGGGCUUAAUCACUGAGCUCGGUUUAAAACAAGAAUCUGUACCAAUUUUCUGUGACAGCUCCAGUGCACUGCAUUUGUGUAAGAAUCCAGCUCACCAUGAGAAGACCAAACAUAUUGAUAUUAAACUUCACUUCAUAAGAAAUGAAGUCUCCAGGGGAGCUAUCAAGAUGGUUAAAAUACAUACUGAUGACAACCCCUCUGACAUGCUCACUAAGGUGGUUCCUGCAACUAAGUUCAACAAAUGUUUGGACUUAGUUGGUAUCUGCAAAACCUGAUAUGAAUCAGUUGGUGAAUGUAUCAGUUACAGGGUGUUUGAUUCAAGGUGGAGUAUUGUUGGCUGAAAGGUGAAUUCAAACACCUUUGCCAGCAAACGACAGCGUUUCCAGUAGUGUUCAGAAGCUUUAAGUGAUCACGUGAGAAGCACAGCCAAUCCUUUGUUUCGAAACGGCAACACAUGAGUGCGUUUUGGAUAUACUCAACUUAAGUGGAGUCACGGGUUCUUCACGUGAUAGUUAGCUGAAGCUGAGUUCGUUAAAUAACAGACUCAUAGUACACGUGUCAAGGAGCUGUGCAAUCUGGGUUGUUAGAGCUGUUACAAGACUGGUAUAUAAGCUGCAGCCUUCUGGUUUGGAGAUAGUCGUGCGUGAUAGAGAUUGAGGGAAGUCUGAGAGGAAGUGUCUUACUUGUUCUUGUUCUUAGAAUCUCUGUAACAAAACUUCUUGAAUCAUUCAAUAAAGCUGUCUGAGGAAUUCACUCGUGGAUGUAAGCCAUUAAUGGCUGAACCACGUUAAAGCUUGUGCUCUGUUUUGUGUGAUUGAUUUUCUUGCUGGUUUUGGUUUCUAAGGUUGUAAUUAAUCCUUUUUGUUACGAGUCUUAUUGGGUUUAGUUGAUUCUCUGAAGUUGAUCUAAGCUGAUAUUGCAUCCUGAUUAAUCUUGGCUGAGAAUCUUGGGAGGAUCUGGUUCUUGAUCAAAGCAUAGCUAACGAACCAGAUUCAACAAAAAGGAACUUAAUCUGCAAAAAAGUAACGACGAAGAGUGAGCCGUUAACUCGGUAAGUAAAACCAUUCCUAACACACUAGGCCUAUCGAUACCAAAAAUAUUGCAAGCCUUCUUUUAUUUAAAACAUAUAUCAUAAUCCAUAAAUUUCAUAAAAUGAUAUAUCACGAUAAAACAACAUAAAUUCAUUGUAUCUCAGAAUAUCAAAAGCAUAGUUACUUACGAAAGCAAUCAUAUAUCACAUUCACAGAAAACAAAAGGUUAGUUCAUGUCACAUAGUGUCACCUAUAGUCCUGGUGACCCGGCCAGAAACAGAAUCAGAAUCAGAAUCAGAAUAUCGUGUGCACACUCAGAACAGAAACCCAAUACUGGUCCAGAACAGACAUAUAUCAUAUUAUACGAUCAAAAUCAGAAUUAGAAUAACUACGGACAAUGAGCCAAAACAUAAUUACUUAUACGUGGCACUUUGCACUAUAUGUGCACUUUGCGACGCUUUGACCUUCAAGGGGUGGCCCCCAUAUAGUCCCAAGAGGUGGCCCCCGUACAAUCAUAAAAUAAUUGAAAUCAUACAUAGGCACAAAAUAUUUGUAUCAGUUUCAUGAAAGUCCAUAACAACAAUUUAGGCUUGCAAAUUAUUUUAUAAAUAAAAUCAUAAAAGUUACUCAUGUCAUAAAAUACUUUACAUAUUUAAAAGCAUUUGUAAAAUACUUUGUUAAAAAGAAUUUAGGUUUGAAAACAUUUACAUAAAACUAAUUUUGUUAUCAAAAUCAAUUAAUCCUUUAAGUAGUAUAAAAACAUGCAUACUUAUAAUAAUAUCAAAAUAAUCAUAUAUAUAUCCAGUACAUUAAGAAUGAAGUUACUUACCUCGACAAAAUAAUUUGGAUUAACACACCUAUAUGCCUCUAAGAGCCUCAAUCACCUCCAACACCUUAAACAAAUACAAGGCAUGACAAUUAAUAACUUAUUAUAAGAACCUGGUUUUUCUAAUUCAUAUCCGUACAGGUCUGAUGCUCAUAACUUUAACUCUUAAUCUAAAACUGAGAAUCACAUAAUAUUCUACAAGGCUAUUUUGGACAUCCAUGGGUACCUCAUGUAAAAUUUUCAAUAGGAUCCGAUACCAAAAACAUUUUCAAAACUAUUUAUUAUUUGACAAAUUCGAAACUGUUUUCACAGUACCUUAACCGAACAGAAUUGGUUCUGAGAUUUUUAUAAAAUAAAAUUUAUUCAAGAAGCCCUACAUGUCUAGUUUCCAGAAAUAUAAAUUUCAUGAGAUAAAUCGUUCAGAAGAAAUAGGUUUAAAUUCGAGAUACUCAUGCUGUCCAGAAUUAUCCUAUGUGCUUAAUACGUCAAGAGUUGAUUAACUAAACUCAUAAUAAAUCAAAAACCCUAAACAAAUCCUAAAUACAUUCUAAAUCAUGCAUUAUGAUCUAUAACUAUCUAAAAUCAUGCCAGUAUAAACCCUAGAUAGAGUGAUUGGAAAUCUUGUGGGGAAUAAAGGGAGUAAACUUACCAAUUGCUUUGAUUCUCUUCUAAACAAAGGCUUGAAUCUUAGGGUUUGGGUAAGAGCGUAGUGAGCAGUAGAGAAAAAAAGAAAUGUCGUGGAUUUAGAGUUAUGGAAGGAGAAAAAUAUGAAUUUAUAGGGAGUCUUAAGUAACCCUAUUGAAUUUGGAAAAAUAAUCAUUUUCCAAAAUUAUCUCCUAAAUAACCCUUAUUUAUAAUUUAAUAUCCAUUUCUAAUAAGGGUUAUAGGCCACGCAUGAUUCCUAAUGAAAGCCCAAUUUUCAUAAUUUAAUGUUAUGGAAAUUUGUGGCGUUACACAGCAUCCAGCGUUGCUGCACAGUGAAAUAAGAAACAUUCAAGAAAAUAAAAGGGCAAAGGAGGGGCAUGAAAAAGUAGUACAAAAGAAAAAGAGAGACGCUUUUUAGCUUCUUGCUGCAUGCUAAACUUGAAAAGGGCGAAAAAGGCCAAAAAGGCGUUAUUGGUAAUGAACAGGGGCGGCUCAAUCAAUUUUGCAAAAAUUAGGUCUUUUAAAAAAAUUUAUUAUUAAAAAUUCAUUUAUUUAGAAUCAAUUUUUCUAAUUUUCUAAGAUGCAAAAUUAUUAAUUAAAUUUUUAUAUUCUAAGUUCCUAAUAUAUUUUUCUUAAUACAUACCAUAGUUAAUCCAUUUAAUCUUUCUUGCAACAUGAUUAAUCUUAAAUAAUUUUUUAUAAAUUUUAAUUUUGAAAAACUUCUUUCUACAGAAGCAACUGUUAUUAGUAUUGUUAAUAAUAUUUUAUAAGCAAUAUAUGCAUUUGGAAACGAAUCAAAUUUUUUUAAAUAAUUAACUACAUCAAGUGGGGUAUUUUUUUUCACUUUGAAAAGCUUCUUUUAAAAUUCUUAACUCUACAAACAAAUCUAAACCAUCUAUAUCAGAAAGUGAAUCAUGUUUUAAAGUAUUUUCAAGAUUAAUGCAAUAAGUUUUUAGAACAUCGUCACUUAACAAAAAUCCAAUCAUAUCCAAACCAAAAAAAAUAAAAAUAAAGAAAAAAUAAUUAAAAAAUUAAUUACUUGUGCUUGAUGGAGGAGAGAUCGUGAUUGAUGGAGGAAAAUUAUCAGAGCCUUCAGCUUUCAAAAUUGACAAGGAAUUAGGAAUUAUCGUGACUUUUUUUUUAAUUUAUAAAACUAUUAAUAAAUAAUAAUAAGUUACCAAAUAUUUGGUUUUUAUAGAGUUUCAAAUGAAAUAAUGUUAAUUAGAGAUUUUAUAGGAAUAAAUAAGAUAAAAAAGGUUAAUUCUAACAUUGAAAAGAGAUUUUAUAUAGAUUUGAUAAUUUAUUUACGGAAAAGAUUAUUAUAAGACAAUAAUAAUAUAUAUAUAAAUUAAUAACUUAACAACUAUAAUUUUGAAAAAAAAAAUUUGAAACUUUUAUAUGUUGUGGAGUCCUAGGCAACCGCCUAAGUUGCCUAAGGGAAGAGCCGCUUAGGUAAUAAAGGGCAACAUCAAUAAGCAAAAAUCAUGAAUAUAUAAUAAUUAUUGAGUUAAAACUAGAUUUAUUUUCAGAUAGAUAAUAAUUUUAUUGAGACAAUACAAGGCAAACAACCACCCUCAACAGAGUGCCUAACUCUGGACCACUUUAAUGGCAAAUUGUAAUAAGACAGUAGAAUACGCUGCAGCUUUGUGAAUUGGUUGAUGACAAGAUAAGUCAAGUUAUUAUUCUAUUCACAUAUAAGUGCCAUGCAAAAGCAAAUCAUGAAGCCAGAAGAUCGAACAUCAGUCAGCAAAUUUUCAGCAUGUUCUGCCCAAGUUAUUCAGACGGCAAAUUUGGGAAUAUGAAAGAAUAGAUUAAAAUCAGCAUCGGUAUCACUAUGAAGAAACUUCUCACCUGGUGUACGACUGCUAGGUAAAGCGCAAAUCUCGCAACAAAAUAGAUAUCAGCUCUUUUAUCUCUGCCUGGAUAAUUAAAAACAAAAAUAUAGAAAUAUUAAGCUGAUCUAAUUAAUAACAAUCCACUCAAAUGUUUUUUUAUUGACUUCAUAAAAAUUAAUAAAAGAAGCAAAGAUGUAUAAAAGAAACAGAAGGUGCCAGCAUAUGACAUUAUGCUUCACAAAUAAUUUAAUGCUGUGUGGUUGGCAUGUAAAUCUAUUAAAGAAUCCAUAUAUCAAUCUGAUAGUGCCGCAUAUAAUUUAUCAAUGAUAUCAAGCUCUAUUUGCUUUCUAUACACUGAAUUAGCCUAUAAAUAGGUGCAUCUUCUUGCUAUCUCUCACCGACCUUUUGGUCCCCGGUUUGACUCGAAAAUUGGAAGGUCACAAACCGCCCUUUAUAAUUGCAAACGUGAAUAAGGUGCUAAAGCAGGACUCAACCUCACACAACUCACAUGCAACUUUUAAUUUACAUGCAUGCCACCAAGGAGACAAAUUAGAGACUAAAUCACUAUCACAUAGGCAACUGCUAACUUACUUAUACCAACCCAAAAGUAGUUAUCCAAUACCAAAAAGUAGUAACAUUUGCAAUAAGUGGGAGAUUAUGGACAACUAUUUUUGAGUUUUUUGUGAGCAUAUGAUGUAACUUUUAACAAGAAACUAUCACAUAAUAGUCAUAUUGACUCUUGAUAUAUACCAUACCACAUACCACAUGCUGUUAUAUGCAAUUCCUUUAAGAAAGAAGAAAUAUUGUUCUUUUGAAUUGAAAUCUUAUUGAUCUUGAUAUUUCCCCCAUAGUUUUUUUAUUCAACAAUUUGUAGGAAUUUUGUUGCAAUGAAAGCUUGACCAACAUGGCAUGCUCUCGCUCGCUCAUUCUUUCUUCUUCUUUGUGAUCUAUGCAACGAUAACUUUCAUCUUAUUUUCUCCUUGUUGUGUUAAAAUUACAUUAGCAGCCAUUGAAGAUCAAUUUCACAUGUACCACCAGCUCAUUAUUUCAAUACUUGCAAAGAGCGCAAAGGAGGAAUUUGAAGCUGGAGGAUAUAAAGAGGUACAUUUUUUUUAAUUGAUGUAUAAAGAUGGCCAACAUGUCGUGUCGUGUCUAAAUUUUUUUUAUAAGGGCCCGACACAAGUCCAAAAAAGGUCUAUCAACUUUUUUUUCCCUCAAGCCCACAUGCCCAACGUGCCAAAAAAAACCUACAUGUCUGACGUAUUUUAUUUAAACCCACGUGUCUGACGUGCUUUUUUAAGCCCAUUUGCCUAAUAACAACAACAACAAUAAUAAUAAUUUUUAUUAAGAGAGCAAUUAACGUUUUAUUAUUAGUUUAUUAUAAUUUUACAACUAUAUAUUUAAUUUCACAAUAACCAAUCAUAACACAACAAUGCAUAAAUUUAAUUUCAUAGAUCAUAGUAAUUAUUAAUGAAAAUUAAAAUAUCAUAAAAAAUAUUUUGUUCAUAAUUUUAUUUUUGUGUACAAAUAUGAAAAAUAUUUCAUUCACAAAUUAAACAUGUCUCCAUUAACUAAGUUAUGAUUUCAUAAAUGAAAUAUUAAUGUCGUAAUUUUUUUAUUUAUCAUUUAUAAAAUCAUGAUAUUUAUAAUUUUAUUUAUUAAAAUCAUGAUAUUUAUUUAUUUAUUUAAUAAAUUAUAAACAUAAACCAAUUAGAAUAUUUAUUUAAACUAAGAAUUAAAUUAAUUUUUAAAAGCCUAUACUAAAAAAUAUAUUAAAAAAUAUAAUUUCAAGAUAUUUGUAAAAUCAUAACAUUUUAUAUUUACUUUUCAUUAAAAUUUUUAUUUUGAUAUACUUUGGCCUACGUGUUAUUGCUGGCCCAUAGGCCAUGUGCUAGCACACUAAUGAAACAUGCUUAUUACGUGUCUUUUCGCGUACCGUACUUUGUCUCAUCUUUAAUCGUGUCGUGCUUUUAAGGCCCGCGUGCCUAAAAUUCUAGACCUGGCCCAACCCACGUGUCGUAUCUAUCGCGUGUCGCUCAGCCCAUUGGCCAUCUUUAUUGAUGUAGUUCAAUUAACUUGUACCAGGGCCUUAUUAUUUUUCUUCCUCUUCUGAGGUAGAACUGGGUCUACUCCUAAUGGGUCUAAAUUGACCAAGACCUCUUAUAACAACAUGAAAGAUAUUUAUCGACUAUAAAAUUAAAGGUAUGAAUAAGAACUAAAUAUUAUAUUUCAAUUUUUUUUAUAAAAUGUAUUUAUUUCCUACACUAUAAAAACUAAUUCUUUUUUUUCUUAUUUAUUUAUUUAUUUGACAUUUAUGUCAAAUAAUUAUAUUUAAGAUGUUUUUUAUUUAUAAAAACAAAUAAGAUAUCACUUAUAUUCAGUCUUUUAAAAAUGAAAAAUAAGAAUGUCAUUCAAAUAUUCGUAUUCAGACUCAUUCAAAUUUCGAAAAAAUUUAGAGCUAUUAAGAUUUUAGACAAAAAAACAAAUGCUACCUAAGUGUGGUAAUUUUUUAUACUUUGAUUAUGCAAUAUUUCCUUGUGUAUAGAGAGGAGAGUUGCAAACGUUGUUGCAAUUUUUGUAUUAGACAGUAUUAAGGCCUUCUUUGAUAUUGAGAUAAUAUAAAUUUUAAGUUAUAAUUGUUGUUUAAAAAAAAACAUAGUUAUAAAAUAAAAGUUGACAAUCUAUAGUAAACAUAACUUUUAAAUAACAAUUUUAAUAAAAAUAAUAAAGAUAUCAUAAAUGUUUUGUUCUGCAUGUGUAUAAUCAAAUCAACUUAUCUUUCGAAACUUAGUUUCUAAAAUAUAGCAAUAAUUGUUUAUUAAACAUAAUACUUUAAAUAUUGUAGCUUUUAAACUAUAAUUGUCCAAUCACAUUAGCAAAUAGGACCUUAAUUAGUAAAAUAUUAACAUUUUAAUCUUAUAAUUGGAGAAUAUGAUCCAAGUUUAGAGAAAAACUUCUAUCUAUUGAGGUGGUAAUCUUCUAACCACUGAAACUGGAUUGUGUUUGCCAAAUUCAAAUGUUGUUGUUAUAGUACAUAAAGAGUUCACAUUGAGCAUUAUGGAUCAAGUGUGGGCAAAGCAAGAAUCUAGUGAAGGUAAAAUGUGUCAAUCUUCACUUACAAAUACUAUUUCGAUCCACUAAUAAUAAAACAUAAUUUUUUACGUACCACAAUGGAAUGAAACUCAAGUUUGAGCCAAAAUCUUAAUAAUAUCAAAAUAUUUCUCUAUUUUCUUUUGAAGGAAAACAAUGGUUCCUUAGUGAAUGAGCAAAAGAAUGGGUACCUAGUGAAUGACUUUUGCAUGGUAGAAGACAACGUUACUAAGCUUGGAACUUCCCAAGCAUUGUAUCAAGAAAUUGAGAAUAACUUAUUACAAGAGAAUUGAUUUAUCAAAAUUUUGAUUGAUCCGACUUGAUUAAUGGUAAUUGGUGAAGAUUUUUUCCCGAUCGUGUGCUUGAUCUUUAUUGUUCUUGAUUGGGAAGAAACAUAAGUUAUUUUUUGAUCUACUUUGUCACAACGCAAGCAAUGAGUUCUGUUGGAUUUGUAUAUUGCUAAGACAUCACUAGAGAUCCCUUGAUUAUAAGAGAAGCACUAUAAUCAUGGGUUUAGACUCGUGUUUCGGAAGAUUUGAACUCUAAUAAGAAAAAAUUAAAACAAAACCCAAGGGGAAUUGUGGUUGUGCACAAUGAACAUAAAUAAUAAAAAAAAAUCUCAUAAAUAAAAGUAUGCGAGUCACGUGACAAAUAAAUAAACAGGAUAUUAUAUUUAGUUGAAAAAUCCUAAAAAUAAAAAUAUUGAACUACUUAAAAGGGAGGACAUAGAUUCUCAAGAGAGAACUAACAUAUUCUCUCUUAUGAAUGGAGGGAGAAAAACAUUUUCCGCGUUUUUCUCCGCACUCAAGCUCCUUGAAUUUUUUUUUUUAUUUUGUAGGAAAUGUCGAGUCUGUCUGAAGUAGUAGCCUAAUACUUAGCAGCCGAGUGGAAAAUUACUUUAAAAAGAAAAAAGAAAAAUACUUGUUUAUUCCCUAUAUUUUGAGUUAAGUAUUUAUUUAGAGCAUCACUAAAAAAUUCUUCAAAUAAGAUUUUAUUACUUAUUUGGAGACCCACAUCAACAUUUAAGACUCCAAAAAACACUCUAAUUAAAAUUCUUUAAAUAAAAAAUUAUUCUCUCUCUUUAAAUUUAGAGAGUUAUUUUCUCACUCUUCAAUUUAUAUUUUAUUACUUUUUACUAGAGAAAGAGCGAGAAAUGCUUUAAUUGCUAUUGACUUUUUCUUUAAAAAAUAAUUAUUUAAUUAAAAUAUUAUUAACUUAUUUAUAUUUGAAGAGUCUUUUGGAGAAUAAUAUAUUUUUUCACUCUUCUAUUUGCCACAUAGGUAAGCAAAUAAAUAUUUGAAGAGUAAAAUUUAUAAAAAAUUUUAGAGAUGCUCUUAGUCUUUAUAUUUAAAAGUAUAACUCAAAACACUCUUAUUGUUAAAUUUAUUACACUUCUACCUUUAUGUCUUCUUUCCUUUAUAAUAAUACUCUUACAAUAAAAUUCUUAGGUAUAUUAAUAAAAUAAUGAUAAUUUAUCAAAUUAAUCUUAAAAGUAACAUAAAAAUUUACAAAAACCUUUAUAUUAUUAUUAGUAAAAUUAUUUUUAUAAGUUCAGCGAGAAUACGUGGCGUUGUUAUACCAGAACUAUAACAGUUAAAACUGUACUUUGGACCAGUAGUUCGCAAGUUCGAGUUUACAGCCGAUAUACCUCUGAGAUAAGAAAACUUUGAAACAUUUUCAUCUCGGGUUAAAUAACCCAAAACAGACUUUCCUUUAGUCUAAAACAGGGUACCAAACCAGAUAAGAAAUUACCAAAAGUUUUCUGAUGCACAUGAUCCUUGCAAGAGGCAAGUGCAGAGCAUAUUUCCUUAAGUUUUAAAAUGAACAGAUGUAAGUUUUCUUCUUAUUUUUAAAACUUUAGAACUUCAUUGACUGAGAGAAAAAGAGAAAUUAGAAACUCAUGAUUAUAGAAGGUUAGAGAUUUUAUUAUUUUCCGCUAUGGUUCUAACAAAGAGAAUCUGAGCUUAUAUAUGAGGAAAACCAAAGAAAAGGAUAAGACAUGGCCCUUAUCACUUUUCUAAAAGAAAAGACAUAAUUACAAGCGACAAGCUUUUGAAAAAGUAAAAGCAAUAAAAACAAAUUAAAGCAUGACUCAUGCUUUAAUUAUUACAAACUUUAAAAAAUAAAAGCAAAAGCAAAAGUAAUAAAGACAAAUUAAAGCAUGACUCAUGCUUUAAUUUUACAAACUUUGAAAAAAGUAAAUGAUGCCAAAUUGCAUGAAUCACGGAGAUGAGAGAUUCAUGUAGUCUUCAUCAGAUGAGCUGUCGGUCUCAUCUUUAUCUUUUGAAAAGAAGACUUUGAGUGAUGGACAUGGAGUUUCUGGUGGAUGUUGAUGAUCUGGGCAACAGGGUGGCCAAGGGCAAAAUAUUUUUCGCCAAGAAGAGGAUGGGUGUUCCUUGGAGCCGGUUGGUGUGCUAGAACUGGCUUUAUUUGUUGGAUCGUCUGAGGCAUGUGUUGGUGGAGUUUGUUGGAGGUUUUGAAGAUGUUGGCUUAAUGGCAAGGCAAGAAUGCUUCCCAUGGGUCUUGUGCAUCUUGGUAUAGAAAAUCAAUGAAGUCUGAUUUUUCUUCCUUGAUGAUAAUACCCGUGGAUUUAGGUUUUGAAAUUGUUGAAGGAGUGGGGAUCAUGAUGAUAUCAUACUGUGGACCGAGGGAGGUGUGAGAAAUGUCUCUAUGUGGAGCAGGUUGGUGGUUCAGUUCACAAAGGAAAUUAUAGAGUUCCUUUUGAACUUUAUCAUCUUGCUCAAGGAUAGAUGGGUGAGGUGUGGUUAACCAUUCAAAAACUUGAUCUUGAGUCCAGAAGAAGUGUGUAUCUGGGUGUUGGAAGUAUGGUCUAUGAAUAAUGAACACAGAUGUGAACAUUUUUGUUUCUGAUGCUGGCAUACGUUCCAAGUUAUGAAAUUGUGACAAUUGUUGAAGUUUCAUUAUCCACCAUGGAAUUGGAAAAAACCAUUCAAGAAGCGUCCAGAUGAGUGAGGUUGAUUUGUCUGCAUUGAACAAAUGGUCUAAGGUGACUGUUACUGGAACAAUCAGUUUGGUGGCAUAGAGGACAGUUAGACACCAGAUGUACCAUAAUUCGUCUUGUGAGAUGUCUCUGGAAGGAUCCAAGGUUAAACCUGUAAGAAACAAGUUUUCUGGAUGGAAAUUGGAAAACGGAAAUGAGUCUGAUAAGAGAUAGGCUUUCAUAAAAAACUGUAUUAUGAAGAUGACAGGAAAAUAGUAUUAUGAGGAUAUGAAAAACAAGGAUUUAUCUGGUUUAGCAAGUCUUGAGAGCAUAUCAAGAAUAAGGUUGUGGUCUCCUUUUAUAUGCUUAACAGAGAAAUCAUAUUUUGAAAACCAGUCUUUUAGCCUAAGCAACAUCUUUUCUGGAACAUGUAUUUCUGGCAUCAUUACCUGAAGAAUUGCAACCAGACAUACAGAGGCAGCUCAGGAGUCGCAAUCUCACCAUUGACAACAUUUCCUUGGGAAAGAUCUUUCAAAUCGCCAAAGAAUGUUUGGAAAAAUUAUGUGAAUAGACACAGUUUUUCAAAGAACUGUUAAAAGACAAAGAGCCUUUCCGAAGUGCUUGCAAAAAGCCGUACUUACAGAUCAAAUGCAAGAAAAAGAAAGAUUGUGAUUGCAGCACCAAAAAGAAGAAACAUUUUCGAAAAUUCAAAAAUCCAGAUUCGUUUCCUAGAUCAAAAUCCAGGCGAAAAUCAUACAGAUUUUUCAGGAAAAUAUCUAGUUCUUUCCAAGAACAGAAAAGAAGAAAGUCAAGCUAAUGCUUGAUUUGCAAAAAAAAAGGCCAUUAUGCUAAAGAUUGCCCUAAUAAAAAAGAUAAAGCAAUCAGACUACUUGAGCAUUUACAGGCCACCACUGAUUAUUCUCUUCACAAAGAUGAAAUUGAGUUCUACUUCUCAGAACAAGAGGAGCCUACUGAUGAAACAGUGCUCGCACUGCAAAACUCAUCCGAUGAUUCUGAAAAUGAUGAGUUUUAAACUGUUUUUCACCAACAACUUUUGUCUCUAGACACUACCAUACCUAUCCCUUCCAUAAAACUCCAAAUCUUACCUUCCAAAUUCCAAAGACCAAUUCCCGCCAUUGGACUUCUUGAUACCGGAGCCUAAAGAAGUAUGUUAAACCCAGACAUACUUCCAUAUCAUUCUUGGCAACAUUAUGAAGAAAAUUUCAAAGCAGUCAAUGGAAAAUUCUUCACCACCAAGUUGAUUACCAAAAAACCCAUUGGUAUUCAAAUCUUUCCAAAUUGUGUUAUCUGGACAAAAGUCAUCGGUUCCCAUCUGCCUAAUAAGGACAUCUUGUUAGGAUUUGAUAUCAUUUACCAGAUAAAACACCUCCAAAUCAUUCAUACUGGAAUUCUAGUCAAGUCCAUGUUUAAAUCAUUCACCAAUGUUCUCAAGCUUUAUGGUUUGUCUGAAACCUCCCAGCCUUUCCAAGACAUUUCCACAAAAUUUUUGAAAUAUUGUCCUGAGUCUCAUGCUGACUUUCACCAUCUAAAUCCUCUGUGGAAAAAUCUAAAUUUCUUUGUUCAAUUGCCUUUCAAGUUGAAUGAAGAUGUCAAUUCAACCAAAGCCACCUAUCCAGGAAUGAGUCCUUCCGACUUAGUCCUAGCUCAAAAGGAAUGUUCUCAGUUACUGGCUCAAGGUCUUAUUGAACCCAUUAGUUCUCAAUGGGCUUGUCAAGCUUUUUAUGUUGAAAAACAUUAUGAGAUUGUUAGAGGAAAAAAACGAUUAGUCAUUGACUAUCAACCUCUAAACAUGUUUUUACAAGAUGACAAAUUCCCUUUACUAAAAAGACAGAGCAUGUUCACCUAUCUAAAAAAUGCUCAACUCUUUUCAAAAUUUGAUCUUAAAUCUGAAUUUUGGCAACUUGAAAUUAAACUUUCAUAACAUUACAAAACUGCCUUUUGCACUCCCCAAUGCCCACUAUCAAUGGACAGUUUUACCCUUUGGUCUUAAAACAACCCCAUCUAUUUUCUAAAAAACCAUGGUCCAAAUCUUCUAACCCAUUUUGCAUAGUGCAUUGAUUUACAUUAAUGAUAUUUUGUUGUUUUCAGGUACACAAGAUGACCAUCGCCAUUUAUUAAAUCAAUUUUUUGAUAUUAUUUAAUCUCAUGGAAUCAUGUUAUCAGCUAAGAAAAGCACAAUUGCCACCAAUAACAUUGAAUUCCUUGGAAUGACUAUCAAAUACGGCCACUAUCGGCCAGGAAAGCACAUUGCUCAAGAGCUCAUCCACUUUCCAGAUCAGAAUCUUUCCAAAAAGCAAAUCCAGCAGUUCCUUGGUAUUAUUAAUUAUAUCAGGGAUUUUAUUCCUCAUGUUGAUCAUCACACCCGCCAGCUGUCAGCCUUGCUGAAGAAGAAUCCACCUUCGUGGAAUAACAACCACACACUUGCUGUCACAAUGUUAAAGCACAUUGCGCAAAAUCCGCCACUAUUAAAGCUCAUCACCGAUGGCAAACGAAUAUUGCAAACUGAUGCAAUUGACGAAUCAUGGGGGGCCAUCCUCCUUGAAGAAACAGAUGGCAAAGAACACUUUAUUGCCUAUGCCAGUGGACACUUUUCUGACACACAAAUUCAUUACCACAAUGUGUUCAAAGAAAUUUUAGAUGUCAAGCAUGGUAUUCAAAAGUUCGAGUAUCAUAUUAUCGGCUAUCACUUUCUUGUCAGAAUGGACAACUCAACUUUUCCCAACAUCAUGAAUUUCAAAGGGAAAAAUGUUCCAGAAAAGAUGUUGCUUAGGCUAAACGACCAGUUUUCAAAAUAUGAUAUCUCUGUGAAGCAUAUAAAAGGAGACCACAACCUUACUCCUGAUAUGCUCUCAAGACUUGCUAAACUAGAUAAAUCCUUGUUUUUCAUAUCCUCAUAAUAAUAUUUUCCUGUCAUCUUCAUGGCCACUUCACUCCCCUCACAAGCUCUUACCCAAAAAAAAUUUCCCCUUGGGAAAACUUUCACCACAGUUUUUGCCAUACAAGAGUUUGUAAAAAAAGUUGUAUUUAGGUUUUUUAUGAAAGCCUAUUUCUUAUCAGACUCAUUUCCAUUUUCCAAUUUUCAUCUAGAAAACUUGUUUUUUACAGGUUUAACCUUGGAUCCUUCCAGAGACAUUUCAGAAGACGAAUUAUGGUACAUCUGGUGCCUAACUGUCCUCUAUGCCACCAAACUGAUUGUUCCAGUAACAACCACCUUAGACCAUUUGUUCAAUCCAAACAAAUCAACCUCACUCAUCUGGACGCUUCUUGAAUGGUUUUCUCCAAUUCCAUGGUGGAGAAUGAAACUUCAACAAUUGUCACAAUUUCAUAACUUGUUCAAUCCAGACAAAUCCAGACCAUUUGUGGAGAAUGAUUUUCUCCACUCAUCUGGACGCUUCUUGAAUGGUUUUCUCCAAUUCCAUGGUGGAGAAUGAAACUUCAACAAUUGUCACAAUUUCAUAACUUGUUCAAUCUAGAGAAUGAAACUUCAACAACCACCUUAGACCAUUUGUUCAAUCCAGACAAAUCAACCUCACUCAUCUGGACGCUUCUUGAAUGGUUUUCUCCAAUUCCAUGGUGGAGAAUGAAACUUCAACAAUUUCAUAACUUGUUCAAUCCAGAGAAUGAAACUUCAACAACCACCAUAGACCAUUUGUUCAAUCCAGACAAAUCAACCUCACUCAUCUGGACGCUUCUUGAAUGGUUUUCUCCAAUUCCAUGGUGGAGAAUGAAACUUCAACAAUUGUCACAAUUUCAUAACUUGGAACGUAUGCCAGCAUCAGAAGCAAAAAUGUUCACAUCUGUGUUCAUUAUUCAUAGACCAUACUUCCAACACCCAGAUACACACUUCUUCUGGACUCAAGAUCAAGUUUUUGAAUGGUUCACCACACUUCACCCAUCUAUCCUUGAACAAGAUGAUAAAGUUCAAAAGGAACUCUAUAAUUUCCUUUGUGAACUGAACCACCAACCUACCUCCCUCGGUCCACAGCAUGAUAUCAUCAUGAUCCCCACUCCUUCAACAAUUUCAAAACCUAAAUCAACGGGUAUUAUCAUCAAGGAAGAAAAACCAGACUUCACUGAUUUUCUAUACCAAGAUGCACAAGACCCAUGGGAAACAUUCUUGCCAUUAAGCCAACAUCUUCAAAACCUCCAACAAACUCCACCAACACAUGCCUCAGACGAUUCAACAAAUAAAGCCAGUUCUAGCACACCAACCGGCUCCAAGGAACACCCAUCCUCUUCUUGGCGCAAAAUAUUUUGCCCUUGGCCACCCUGUCGCCCGGAUCAUCAACAUCCACCAGAAACUUCAUGUUCAUCACUCAAAGUCCUCUUUUCAAAAGAUAAAGAUGAGACCGACAGCUCAUCUGAUGAAGACUACAUGAAUCUCUCAUCUCCGUGAUUCAUGCAAUUUGGCAUCAUUUACUUUUUUCAAAGUUUGUAAUAAUUAAAGCAUGAGUCAUGCUUUAAUUUGUCUUUAUUACUUUUGCUUUUACUUUUUAAAGUUUGUAAUAAUUAAAGCGUGAGUCAUGCUUUAAUUUGUCUUUAUUACUUUUACUUUCCUAAAAACUUAUCGCUUGUAAUUAUGUCUUUACUUUUAGAAAAGUGAUAGGGGCACUGUCCUAUCAUUUUCCUUGGUUUUCCUCCUAUAUAAGCCCAGCUUCUCUUUGUUAGAAGUAUAAUGGAAAAUAAUAAAAUCUCUAGCCUUCUAUAAUCAUGAGUUUCUAAUUUCUCUUUUUCUCUUUGUCAAUGAAGCUCUAAAGUUUUAAAAAUAAGAAGAAAACUUACAUCUGUUCAUUUUGAAACUUAAUGAAGUAUGCUCUGCACUUGCCUUUUGCAAGGAUCCCGUACAUUAGAAAACUUUUGAUAAUUUCUUAUCUGGUUUGGUACCCUGUUUUAGACUAAAUGAAAGUUUGUUUUGGGUUAUAUAACCCGAGAUGAAAAUGUUUCAAAGUUUUUUUAUCUUAGAGGUAUAUCGGCUGGAAACCCGAACUUGCGGACUACUAGUCCAAAGUACAGUUUUAACUGUUAUAGUUCUGGUAUAACAACGCCACGUAUUCUCGUUGAACUUAUGAUCGAGUCCAUCUUAAACUCAAUAUGAUCAGUUCGUAAACUGAUAUGAUUAACCUUCUUAUGGAUAUCAACCAAGGUUUCAUUUUGAGCUCUGGGAUUUUGGGUUUGCCAGUUGAGAACAACUUCAAAAGGUUUGGGGUCUUCUAAGUGACAUGUGGGAGUUAUGGUUGAAGGAAUAAAGGGUUUGGUUAUGACCUUUCGUUGUGGAUCGGUCUGGGUUUCUAGAGCAGGAAAAUUGGAGGAAUAAUCUUGUGAGGUUGAGCGAGAAUACAUGGGCAUUGGGAAUGCAAAAGGCAGUAGCCCGCAAGUUCUGUUUUAUGAGUUCAACGAGAAUACGUGGCGUUGUUAUAAAUCCCUAGACAUUAACUCAUAAAACUCAUGCCCUUGGAAUGGAUAUCAAAUUAUGGGAAGUUCCACACCAAUAAUGGUUGGUAUCUGAUCUGAUUCUGCUAACCCAUGAGUGCGUCAAAGUGGUGCUCAAGUGAAGGAAGAUAUAAGGCAUGGUUCUAGAGCCUAUAGACCAAUUGAUGGUGAAGAGUUACAAUUUUUACAGAAGAGAUUUGUUCUGCACCUUGAUUUUGCACUUGGACUUUCAAGGCAGUGGAGAGAUUAGUGUCUUGAAAAGAAAUGUUGAAAUUGGGAUAGAAAAUGAGUAAAGCACUUCCAGCAUGAAGAGUGGUUAAGGCAGUACCAAUAACAACAUCUUGAAAAUGUGUGAACCUAGCAUCCAGCAUAGCAAUUCUGACUGUGACUAGUAAUCCUUUCCUUCCAUGUAAGGUUAGGAUUAGUCUGACUCCUCUGAUAUGGAGAUAAGUAUAACAUUCUCUUUGCCAAUUGGAAAUCAAUUCUGGGGGAAUUUUCAGAGUGACAUAUUGUUCAGGUGUGGUAGCCUGAAGGAAACACUAAUCCAAUCUGGAUGACUGAAUAUAUUCUUUUGGAUGUGGGUACAAGUAUAAAAUAAUUAAUUUGAUAAAUUAUUUUUAUAAAAUAAUUAUUAGUAAAAUUAUUGCACAAGUAUAAAAGAGUACCAAUUCUUUUGCAAUUAUAUUUAUUUUUUAAUUUAUUAAUAAAUAAUUAUUUAUUAAUUAAAUUAUAUAUAUAUUAAUCAAUGUAAAAAAUAUUAUUAGAAGGAUAUUAUUAUAAAAAAAAUAAAAAGUAAGAGUAAAAUUUUUUUUUAAUUAUAAGCAUAUUUUAAAAUAUUUUAAAAAUAUGGAAAUUAAUUGGAAACUUCAAGUCAAAAUACUUGCCCUUUAAAGAAUUUCAAAAAAAAAAUUACUUGAAAAAGCCUCUGCGAGUAAACGGUUCAAUUGAAAUCUCACAAUGCCCUUUAAAGAAUUUCGGGAAAAAAAAAAAUUACUUGAAGAAGCCUCUGCGAGUAAACGGUUCAAUUGAAAUCUUACAAUAACUCGUAGCAAAUAUAACACCGAAAAAUGUGCACUUUAGAGAAACACGGCGACGUUUUUGUCCUAACCUUAACCGGUUCCUCCGACGUUGACGAACACCGGUUCGGUCCUCCCGCAAUCGACUCGAUCCUCUCGGCUAUCGCCAAAGCCAAAGCCGAAGCAACUCCCGGCUCCGCUCUUAUAACCACUUCUCAUGGCAAAUUCUUCUCCAACGGCUUCGACCUCGCCUGGGCCCAAGCCGCCGGCUCACGAACCGGCGCCCGGGAACGCCUCCACUAUAUGGUCGAAUCCUUCAGGCCGGUGGUAGCCGCCAUGAUGGAUCUACCCAUGCCUACCGUGGCCGCCGUCAACGGCCACGCAGCCGCCGCAGGGUUGACGCUGGCUUUGAGCCAUGAUUACGUCAUCAUGAGGCGUGAUAAGGGCGUGCUGUACAUGAGCGAGGUGGAUAUCGGGCUCACUCUGCCGGAUUAUUUU